rnacentral:rRNA from 1 species
CCAGUGGCGAACGGGUGCGUAACACGUGAGGAACUUGUCCAUCGGCGGGGGAUAGCCGGCCCAACGGCCGGGUAAUACCGCGUACGUCGGCGAGACCGCAUGGUCUUGCCGGGAAAGCAGCAAUGCACCGAUGGAGAGCCUCGCGGCCUAUCAGCUCGUUGGUGAGGUAACGGCUCACCAAGGCGACGACGGGUAGCUGGUCUGAGAGGAUGAUCAGCCACAUUGGGACUGAGACACGGCCCAGACUCCUACGGGAGGCAGCAGUGGGGAAUAUUGCGCAAUGGGCGAAAGCCUGACGCAGCGACGCCGCGUGUGGGAUGACGGCCUUCGGGUUGUAAACCACUGUCGCGAGGGACGAAGAUCUGACGGUACCUCGAAAGGAAGCACCGGCUAACUCUGUGCCAGCAGCCGCGGUAAUACAGAGGGUGCAAGCGUUGUCCGGAAUUACUGGGCGUAAAGGGCGCGUAGGCGGUCCAAUAAGUAGGGGGUGAAAUCUCACG